rnacentral:rRNA from 1 species
GUGGGGAAUCUUAGACAAUGGGGGCAACCCUGAUCUAGCCAUGCCGCGUGAGUGAUGAAGGCCUUAGGGUUGUAAAGCUCUUUCAGCUGGGAAGAUAAUGACGGUACCAGCAGAAGAAGCCCCGGCUAACUCCGUGCCAGCAGCCGCGGUAAUACGGAGGGGGCUAGCGUUGUUCGGAAUUACUGGGCGUAAAGCGCACGUAGGCGGACUGGAAAGUCAGAGGUGAAAUCCCAGGGCUCAACCUUGGAACUGCCUUUGAAACUAUCAGUCUGGAGUUCGAGAGAGGUGAGUGGAAUUCCGAGUGUAGAGGUGAAAUUCGUAGAUACUCGGAGGAACACCAGUGGCGAAGGCGGCUCACUGGCUCGAUACUGACGCUGAGGUGCGAAAGCGUGGGGAGCAAACAGG